AGGACUAACGCUGGCGGCGUGCCUAACACAUGCAAGUCGAACGGGGGUAGCAAUACCCCAGUGGCAGACGGGUGAGUAACACGUGGUCAACCUACCUCUGUGUGGGGGAUAACUAGCCGAAAGGUUAGCUAAUACCGCAUACGAUCGUUUUGAGGCAUCUCGAGACGAUGAAAGGAGCAAUCCGCACGGAGAGGGGACUGCGUCCCAUUAGUUAGUUGGUGGGGUAACGGCCUACCAAGACUCCGAUGGGUAGCUGGCUUGAGAGAGCGACCAGCCACACUGGAACUGAGACACGGUCCAGACUCCUACGGGAGGCAGCAAGUGAGGAAUUUUCCGCAAAUGGGCGAAAGCCUGACGGAGCGACGCCGCGUGUGGGAUGAAGGCCUUCGGGUCGUAAACCACUGUCGAAGGGACGAUAUUGACGGUACCCUUGGAGGAAGCCCCGGGCUAACUACGUGCCAGCAGCCGC
rnacentral:rRNA from 1 species